rnacentral:rRNA from 1 species
GAUGAACGCUGGCGGCGUGCCUAAUACAUGCAAGUCGAGCGAACGGACGAGAAGCUUGCUUCUCUGAUGUUAGCGGCGGACGGGUGAGUAACACGUGGAUAACCUACCUAUAAGACUGGGAUAACUUCGGGAAACCGGAGCUAAUACCGGAUAAUAUUUUGAACCGCAUGGUUCAAAAGUGAAAGACGGUCUUGCUGUCACUUAUAGAUGGAUCCGCGCUGCAUUAGCUAGUUGGUAAGGUAACGGCUUACCAAGGCAACGAUGCAUAGCCGACCUGAGAGGGUGAUCGGCCACACUGGAACUGAGACACGGUCCAGACUCCUACGGGAGGCAGCAGUAGGGAAUCUUCCGCAAUGGGCGAAAGCCUGACGGAGCAACGCCGCGUGAGUGAUGAAGGUCUUCGGAUCGUAAAACUCUGUUAUUAGGGAAGAACAUAUGUGUAAGUAACUGUGCACAUCUUGACGGUACCUAAUCAGAAAGCCACGGCUAACUACGUGCCAGCAGCCGCGGUAAUACGUAGGUGGCAAGCGUUAUCCGGAAUUAUUGGGCGUAAAGCGCGCGUAGGCGGUUUUUUAAGUCUGAUGUGAAAGCCCACGGCUCAACCGUGGAGGGUCAUUGGAAACUGGAAAACUUGAGUGCAGAAGAGGAAAGUGGAAUUCCAUGUGUAGCGGUGAAAUGCGCAGAGAUAUGGAGGAACACCAGUGGCGAAGGCGACUUUCUGGUCUGUAACUGACGCUGAUGUGCGAAAGCGUGGGGAUCAAACAGGAUUAGAUACCCUGGUAGUCCACGCCGUAAACGAUGAGUGCUAAGUGUUAGGGGGUUUCCGCCCCUUAGUGCUGCAGCUAACGCAUUAAGCACUCCGCCUGGGGAGUACGACCGCAAGGUUGAAACUCAAAGGAAUUGACGGGGACCCGCACAAGCGGUGGAGCAUGUGGUUUAAUUCGAAGCAACGCGAAGAACCUUACCAAAUCUUGACAUCCUUUGACAACUCUAGAGAUAGAGCCUUCCCCUUCGGGGGACAAAGUGACAGGUGGUGCAUGGUUGUCGUCAGCUCGUGUCGUGAGAUGUUGGGUUAAGUCCCGCAACGAGCGCAACCCUUAAGCUUAGUUGCCAUCAUUAAGUUGGGCACUCUAAGUUGACUGCCGGUGACAAACCGGAGGAAGGUGGGGAUGACGUCAAAUCAUCAUGCCCCUUAUGAUUUGGGCUACACACGUGCUACAAUGGACAAUACAAAGGGCAGCGAAACCGCGAGGUCAAGCAAAUCCCAUAAAGUUGUUCUCAGUUCGGAUUGUAGUCUGCAACUCGACUACAUGAAGCUGGAAUCGCUAGUAAUCGUAGAUCAGCAUGCUACGGUGGAUACGUUCCCGGGUCU